UAAAAUAUAGCAAAAUUUAUCAAAACUCUAUAUACCUCUUCAAAAUGUACCCAUAUUAGUGAACUUUCGAAAAACACAUGAGGUAACAUUACAACUCAAAUUUCAUCACUCUAUGGUCGAAUCGUCCACCAUGUAAGGAUGGUCCGACAUUAUGAUAUGUUUUGAUAUACUUGUACUAGAUAGUAUCAUUUGCCUAGGAGAAUGGCAUGUUUCCCUUCAAUAACCCGAACACCUUCUCGACCUCGUUUCUUGAGGAAGAAUGUUUCAAUAUUAAAAUAAAUAGAUCUCACAUGUAGAGUACGUUCUGAUGAUAUUGUUCCACACUAUGCAAAGCUAAGAAACCCUCCAUAUUAAGGUACCCUGCAUCACAGAGAUAAUAUUACCAUAUCAUAUCAAACAUUCAACCAUUUCAAAUAUUGCUACCUUUAGAUGCCAUAUUUUGUAAAUAAUAAUAAAAAAGGAUUUAUUCAAUCAAUCUAUUCAAUCAGAUGUAUAGUAUAAUGCCAUAUUCCUCCAAUAAUCUACUCGACAUUGGUUAUUGGAAUUCUAGAACUGAGAAAUCCAUGCUAUCGCCCGCUCUCUGGGUCUAAUCCAACCCUGUAAACAGAGUCCUCUCUUUAAAACCAAUUCAAAGCCUUUAAGAACUAUUCGAAGUAUCCAAAAUAAAGGUUUAAUUUCCAGUACUGCCACUACUAUAAUCACAGUCACCCACAUAGAGGAGUUAUCAUAAGUCUCACCUGUCCUCCAGGAUCUCUUGAAACCGGUUGUACUCUCAAUGACAUCGCUGGCUCAGGGACUGAUAACCCAAACAGUUCAGAAUAUCAUAAAAGGCUCAAAUAGGAAACAAUUCAACAUCUCUUGUCCCCAUUCACAUGAUGUAAAUUGGAACUUGCACAGCAGCACUAUGAUGCCGGAGCUUAGAACUUCCCUUCAAGACAAACCAAACCAAUCUAAAUCAGUUUAAAAAUUAGUAUAUGCAACUAAUAAUCAACCACAACUAUAUCAUAUAAACAUAAUGGCCAAUCCAUACAAACAAAUAUCAGUAUCCAGAUCGAUACAAAUUUGCCAAGCAUUUUGCUUUUUCUUGGGGGUCAACAGAUUGCAUUCCGUAUAAACAGUACAGUUUGAGUUGAGAAUCAAGUAUCAAGAAAUCGUUUGAAAAUUUCAUCUACAUGUGCAUGAUAAAUAUAAGACCAUAACACUCCACCGGAUUAACUUCUUCAUUAACAAGGAAUUUAAAUAUUCACUUGCAACUUUCCCGUAAGAACAAAUAUGAAAAUCAACCAUCAAAAUAGAAGCAGUCAAAAUUAAUAGUUAGAAACGAUAACAGUUGAAUAACAAAUAAGAUAAUUUUUUGUGAAUGAAAGGAGAACACAGGUCACUCAACAACAUAAGGGAACCGGACCCGCAAGAAUAUAUUGCCAUUCAGCUGCCUCCAACUUCAUGAUCUUCUCCUCAGAAUCCUAACUUGGUAUGAAGCUAGGGAUCUAUAUGAUUCGACUAGCUAAAGCAGGCACCAAAUGCUAUGAAGAAGUUCAACUCAUUUCUCACUGCUUUAUUUUGGAUAAAUGGUUCCGACUAUAGUACAAUCAUGCAGAUUCUGAAAAUUUGUAAUUCGUACAAACCAGAUUGAACUCUCAACCUUGUUCCUUCCU
rnacentral:lncRNA from 1 species